CCAGCUUUCGUGAUGUGACGGGCGGUGUGUACAAGGCCCGGGAACGUAUUCACCGCAGCGUGCUGAUCCGCGAUUACUAGCGAUUCCAACUUCAUGCAGGCGAGUUGCAGCCUGCAAUCCGAACUGAGAGCGGCUUUCUCCGAUUAGCUCCCCCUCGCGGGAUCGCAACGGUUUGUACCGCCCAUUGUAGCACGUGUGUGGCCCUGGACAUAAAGGCCAUGCGGACUUGACGUCAUCCCCGCCUUCCUCCCCGUUGACCGGGGCAGUUCCCCUAGAGUGCCCAGCAUCACCUGGUGGCAACAAGGGGUGAGGGUUGCGCUCGUUGCGGGACUUAACCCAACAUCUCACGACACGAGCUGACGACAGCCAUGCACCACCUGUCUCCGCGCUCCCUUGCGGGCACUCCUGCCUUUCGG
rnacentral:rRNA from 1 species